rnacentral:rRNA from 1 species
UUGAUGUGUAGGAUAGGUGGGAGGCUUUGAAGUGUGGACGCCAGUCUGCAUGGAGCCGACCUUGAAAUACCACCCUUUAAUGUUUGAUGUUCUAACGUGGACCCGUGAUCCGGGUUGCGGACAGUGUCUGGUGGGUAGUUUGACUGGGGCGGUCUCCUCCUAAAGAGUAACGGAGGAGCACGAAGGUUGGCUAAUCCUGGUCGGA